UUCUAUGCUAGGGAAUCGAACCCCAAUCUCUUGUGUGGAAGACAAGCAUACUACCAUUGUACGAGCAAAGA
rnacentral:tRNA from 1 species